rnacentral:tRNA from 1 species
GCCUUCCUAGCUCAGUUGGUAGAGCGUUAGACUUUUAAUCUAACGGUCAGGGAUUCGAGCCCCCUGGAGAGCU